rnacentral:rRNA from 1 species
GAUCCUGGCUCAGGACGAACGCUGGCGGCGUGCCUAACACAUGCAAGUCGAGCGAUGAAGUUCUUCGGAAUGGAUUAGCGGCGGACGGGUGAGUAACGCGUGAGCAAUCUGCCUUACACAAAGGGAUAGCCUCUGGAAACGGGGAUUAAUACCAUAUAAAACUUAAGAACUGCAUGGUUUUUAAGUCAAAGAUUUUAUCGGUGUAAGAUGAGCUCGCGUCUGAUUAGCUAGUUGGUGGGGUAAAGGCCUACCAAGGCAACGAUCAGUAGCCGGCCUGAGAGGGUGAACGGCCACACUGGAACUGAGACACGGUCCAGACUCCUACGGGAGGCAGCAGUGGGGAAUAUUGCACAAUGGGCGCAAGCCUGAAUGCAGCGACGCCGCGUGAGCGAAGAAGGUUUUCGGAUCGUAAAGCUCUGUCCUUUGGGAAGAAAAAAUGACGGCACCAAAGGAGGAAGCCCCGGCUAACUACGUGCCAGCAGCCGC